rnacentral:rRNA from 1 species
AAGGCGCUAUGCGUUGUAAACUCUUUUGCAGGUCAAGAAUGUUUCGCACGUGUGCGGAAUUGACGGUAACCUGUGAAUAAGCAUCGGCUAACUCCGUGCCAGCAGCCGCGGUAAUACGGAGGAUGCGAGCGUUAUCCGGAUUUAGUUGGGUUUAAAGGGUGCGUAGGCGGACUGGUAAGUCAGUGGUGAAAUACUGCAGCUUAACUGUAGAAUUGCCGUUGAUACUGUCAGUCUUGAGUAUGGUUAAGGUAGGCGGAAUGUGUAAUGUAGCGGUGAAAUGCUUAGAUAUUACACAGAACACCGAUUGCGAAGGCAGCUUACUGAACCAUAACUGACGCUGAGGCACGAAAGCGUGGGGAGCGAACAGGAUUAGAUACCCUGGUAGUCCACGCCGUAAACGAUGAUCACUCGCUGUUAGCGAUACACAGUUAGCGGCUAAGCAAAAGCAUUAAGUGAUCCACCUGGGGAGUACGGCCGCAAGGCUG